GGGGAAUAUUGCACAAUGGGCGAAAGCCUGAUGCAGCAACGCCGCGUGAGUGAUGAAGGUCUUCGGAUUGUAAAGCUCUGUCUUUUGGGACGAUAAUGACGGUACCAAAGGAGGAAGCCACGGCUAACUACGUGCCAGCAGCCGCGGUAAUACGUAGGUGGCGAGCGUUGUCCGGAUUUACUGGGCGUAAAGGGUGCGUAGGCGGAUGUUUAAGUGAGAUGUGAAAUACCCGGGCUUAACUUGGGUGCUGCAUUUCAAACUGGAUAUCUAGAGUGCAGGAGAGGAGAAUGGAAUUCCUAGUGUAGCGGUGAAAUGCGUAGAGAUUAGGAAGAACACCAGUGGCGAAGGCGAUUCUCUGGACUGUAACUGACGCUGAGGCACGAAAGCGUGGGUAGCAAACAGGAUUAGAUAC
rnacentral:rRNA from 1 species